rnacentral:rRNA from 1 species
AUGAUGACUCUCGGCAACGGAUAUCUCGGCUCUCGCAUCGAUGAAGAACGUAGCGAAAUGCGAUACCUGGUGUGAAUUGCAGAAUCCCAUGAGCCAUCGAGUCUUUGAACGCAAGUUGCGCCCGAGGCCACCCGGUCGAGGGCACGCCUGCCUGGGCGUCACUC